rnacentral:rRNA from 1 species
UAAGGAAUAUUGGACAAUGGAGGCAACUCUGAUCCAGCCAUGCCGCGUGAAGGAAUAAGGCCCUAUGGGUUGUAAACUUCUUUUAGACGGGACAAAACCCCUUUACGUGUAAAGGGUUGAUGGUACUGUCAGAAUAAGCAUCGGCUAACUUCGUGCCAGCAGCCGCGGUAAUACGGAGGGUGCGAGCGUUGUUCGGAAUUACUGGGCGUAAAGCGCGCGCAGGCGGUCUCUUAAGUCUGGUGUGAAAGCCCGGGGCUCACCCCCGGAAGGGCACUGGAGACUGGGAGGCUAGAGUACCGGAGAGGAAGGUGGAAUUCCUGGUGUAGCGGUGAAAUGCGUAGAUAUCAGGAGGAACACCGGUGGCGAAGGCGGCCUUCUGGACGGCUACUGACGCUGAGACGCGAAAGCGUGGGGAGCAAACA